CAAAGCUUGAUGUCUAUGCAUUUGGGGUUCUUAUGAUGGAGAUAGUUUCUGGGAAAGAGGUUGAUGCUUUAUACACAGAGGAAGAUAUGAACUUAUCAGAUGUGUUAACCGACGUUCUUUCUAAGGAAGAUGGACAGGAGACUCUGAGGAAAUUCAUUGAUCCUUCCAUUCAAGGGAAUUAUCCUUUGGAACUCACUGAUCUUGUGAUGAGAUUGAUUGAUAGAUGCUUGAAUAAAAAUCCGGCAGAUCGUCCAUCCAUGGAUGAGAUCACGCAGUCUCUCUCAAGAAUCUUGACCACUUCACUCAAUUGGGAAUCAUCCAACGUUCCAGGGUACCAGUUCAGCAG
rnacentral:misc_RNA from 1 species